rnacentral:misc_RNA from 1 species
CGCCGCGCCGUCCACCCGCUCCCCGCCCGGGGACGGGGAAGUCGGAGCGGAGACUGGCCUCCCGUGCGCCCCGGCGCGCGGAUGGCUCAAAUGGCACCCCCUCGGCGAUGCACGUCACGGCCAUUGGUGGUUGGUCUCAAUCAAUCGACUUUAUCUUGGUCGUGCUUCGCUGCGUCGCCCGCGAGGGAGUUCGAAACGGACCCGAUGGCACUUCGUGCCAGCAUCC